CCUACGGGAGGCAGCAGUGAGGAAUAUUGGUCAAUGGGCGCGAGCCUGAACCAGCCAAGCAGCGUGAAGGAUGACUGCCCUACGGGUUGUAAACCUCUUUUAUAAAGGAAUAAAGUCAGGCACGUAUCCCUUAUUGAAUGUACUUUAUGAAUAAGGAUCGGCUAACUCCGUGCCAGCAGCCGCGGUAAUACGUAGGAUCCGAGCGUUAUCCGGAUUUAUUGGGGUUAAAGGGAGCGUAGAUGGUUUGUUAAGUCAGUUGUGAAAGUUUGGGGCUUAACCGUAAAAUUGCAGUUGAUACUGGCAGUCUUGAGUACGGGAGAGGUAGGCGGAAUUCGUGGUGUAGCGGUGAAAUGCUUAGAUAUCACGAAGAACUCUGAUUGCGAAGGCAGCUUGCUAGAAUGCCACUGACGUUGAUGCUCGAAAGUGUGGGUAUCAAACAGGAUUAGAUACCCGAGUAGUC
rnacentral:rRNA from 1 species